rnacentral:rRNA from 1 species
CGAAACCGGAUGAUCUAUCCAUGGCCAGGAUGAAGGUGCGGUAACACGCACUGGAGGUCCGAACCCACGUCUGUUGCAAAAGACGGGGAUGAGCUGUGGAUAGGGGUGAAAGGCUAAACAAAUCCGGAAAUAGCUGGUUCUCUCCGAAACCUAUUUAGGUAGUGCCUCGAGAUUACACUGACGGGGGUAGAGCACUGUUAUGGCUAGGGGGUCAUUGCGAUUUACCAACCCAUGGCAAACUCCGAAUACCGUCAAGUGCGUCCUCGGGAGACAGACAGCGGGUGCUAACGUCCGUUGU